rnacentral:rRNA from 1 species
UACGUAGGGGGGCAAGCGUUGUCCGGAUUCAUUGGGCGUAAAGAGCGUGUAGGCGGCCAGGUAGGUCGGUUGUGAAAACUCGAGCUCAACCUCGAGACGCCGAUGGAAACCCUCCAGCUAGAGUCCGGAAGAGGAGAGUGGAAUUCCUGGUGUAGCGGUGAAAUGCGCAGAUAUCAGGAAGAACACCCCGUGGCUAAGGCGGCUCUCUAGUACGGUACUGACGCUGAGACGCGAAAAGCGUGGGGAGCGAACAGG